AGUCAAAGUUAGAAAAAGGGAUGUUAAGUACUGGGAGUCAAAGAUAGAAAAAGGGAUAUUUAAGUACUGGGAGUCAAAGUUAGAAAAAGGGAUAUUUAAGUACGGGGAGUCAGAGUUAGAAAAAGGGAUGUUUAAGUACUGGGUGUCAAAGUUAGAAAAAGGGAUGUUUAGUACUGGGAGUCAAAGUUAGAAAAAGGGAUGUUAAGUACUGGGAGUCAAAGUUCGAAAAAGAAAUAUUUGUACUGGGAGUCAAAGUUAGAAAAAGGGAUGUUUAGUACUGGGAGUCAAAGUUAGGAAUCACACAUGACAGACUUAAAAGGUAUGUGAAGAUUUGUAUAAAUGCAGAGCCAAAUAUAAGGACGGUUCGGACGAAUCAUUGAAAAUGUUGAGAGCAAGAGACAUAUCGGACUUAACAGAGAUGUGGUAUGCUUGCAAACGAG
rnacentral:lncRNA from 1 species